rnacentral:sRNA from 1 species
GCUGGGUGUGGUGGCGCACACCUGUAAUCCCAGCUACUCGGGAGGCUGAGGCAGGAGAAUCGCUUGAACCCUGGAGGUGGAGGUUGCGGUGAGCCGAGAUCAUGCCACUGCACUCCAGCCUGGGCGACUAAGCAAGACUCUAUCUCAAAAAACAAAAAAGAUUUCUUUUUUUAUUUUUGAGGCAGGGUCUGUCACCCAGGUUGGAGUGCAGUACUAUGAUCAUAACUCACUGUAGCCUCAAAUUCCUGGGUUCAAGUGAUCCUCCUGCCUCCC